rnacentral:lncRNA from 1 species
UAUGAUUCUCUGUGGAUAAUCUGGGAAAUGUCUGUGGAUAUGGGAAGACUGUUGAUUAACCGUGGAUAAACAGCUUACUUUGGGUAGCGUCACCUAAGACGGAUCCCAGGGCCUGGCUCGCACCUGCGCCUUUCACUGACUGAGCUGCCUCCCUAGCUCCACGUGCCGCCUUAGAGCCACAAGGAAAAGACUCAUGCAAGUGCUGGAGACCAACCCAUUCUUUACAAACGCUGAUCAUGAAGUCUUUCCAGGGCCCAGCCACCUGUCUGUACAGAUGCUCCAGGGAACCCUGGGUCACUCUGAACAUGUUUAUACACAGAGUGACAUGGCCCCCUCAAAUUCAGUUUAUUAUUAAAACACAAAGCAAGAGAAAGUUGAGGAGGAUCUGGAAGAAACUGGGGAAAGGAAAAUGAUGAAAAUAUAUUGUAUUUGUUGGUUUUGUUUGUUUUUUGAAAGAGGUUUUUCCCUAUACAGUCCCUGCUGUCCUGGAACUCUGUAGACCAGGCUAGCCUUGAAGUCAGAGAGAUCUGCUUGUUUCUACCUCUCAAGUAUUGGGAUUAAAGGUGUGCACAACCACCAGCCAGUAACUAAAAACCUGUUUAGGAAGUCAGCACACUGAGUUCUGCAUUGGGCCUCCAGACCACCAGGUAUUACAUAGUGGUGGGGAAACUGUGGGGAGAUUUAUUUUAUUUUAUUUCCCUUUCCCUAGAAAGAGGAAUAUGUCUGCUAUUGAUUCUUAACUGAAGAAAACCACUGUCUUUCCAGAAUAAACUUUAUUCCCCACUCGUGACAGGAAGGUGACUAACAUCUGCCACACAACCUGAUCUACACCAUCUCUCCACAUACACACUAAAAAUUGACACUCAAGUGAGGUAUAAACAUGUUUUUCUGGGGCUGGAGAGACAGCUUCAUGGUUGAGAGUCUAUACCAAGGGUCCAAGUUCAGUUCCCAGCAUCCAUGCUGAGUAGCGCACAGCUCCAGGAGAUCCAGUCCUCUGGUCUCUGAGGUAACCAGCCCUCACGAACAUACCUACCUACCCAUGCAGACACAUACACAUAGCUAAACAUAAAAUAGAUCUUUAAAAAUGCUUUUUCAUCAACUAUUUUAAUACUAAUGUACAGCAACAGUUCCCUGGGUUCCUCAAAGCUCCACUUAAUUAUUAUUAUUAUUACUACUACUACUACUACUACUAUUAUUAUUAUUAUAUGGGUAUGGGUAUUUUGGUUGAGUGUCUGUAUGUGCAUCACAUGUGUGCAGUGUCCGAGAGGGUCAGGGAGGUCAUCAUAUCACCUGGAACUAGAGUUACCCAUUUUUAUGAGGCACCGUAUGGGCACUGGGAAUUGAACCCAGGUCCUCUGCAAGACCCACAGUGUUCUUACAUGCUGAGUCAUCUCUUCAGCUCCUGAAACCCAAGUUGGGAACAGAUUUGUUCUUAGCAUUCUGGGGAGAGGAGGAGGAGGCGGAGGCGGAGGCGGAGGCGGAGGCGGAGGCGGAGGCGGAGGCGGAGGCGGAGUUUUCUCACCAGCGCUAACACCACACAUCUCUAGCUUGAGAGUUCAAAGUCUUGAGAUAGCAAGGAGCUGACACUUGAGAGUCAACUCUUUUGCAAGACUGGAAGCAGAAUGGGCAGAACCAAGCUGGCUACCCUGUGCAAUCAUCCUGUGUCGGAACACGGUCCAAGAAUGGAGUCAUGGGGGGUGGGGGGAGAAAACUCCAACCAGACAAGAGACAAUUGCUCUUGGAAUGGGCUUUCAUGCCCCGCCCAGGUGUAGCAGAUUGGAGUGAGUUUGCUUCAGAUUAUUCACUGCAGUUGGCUAUCGUUUGCUUAUCGAUCGUUUGCCUCUAUGGAAAUGCAUGUUGCUUCCCCAUGCAGCUUGUCCCUUUGAUUAUAUACAGCUUGAACUCAUGAGAACUUUACACAGGUGACCUUUCUUACCCCUCAGGGUAUAAACUGCCAGAUGCCCCGAAUAAAGAUGGCUGUGAAUGAGGCAUUCGUCCACCUCAUUUUUAGGAUCUAUUCUCCCAGGACCUACCUCCUCUAGAGUGGUAAACCAUCCCGGGUGGGGGAUGGGCUUCAUCAAAACACAGUGUAUGAGAGUGUAAAGUUCUCAAACAAUAAAGAAAACGUUUGCAGUGGUUUUC